UACGUAGGGUGCAGGCGUUAAUCGGAAUUACUGGGCGUAAAGCGUGCGCAGGCGGUCUUUUAAGUCAGAUGUGAAAUCCCCGGGCUUAACCUGGGAACUGCGUUUGAAACUGGAAGGCUUGAGUGUGGCAGAGGGGGGUGGAAUUCCACGUGUAGCAGUGAAAUGCGUAGAGAUGUGGAGGAACACCGGUGGCGAAGGCAGCCCCCUGGGCUAACACUGACGCUCAUGCACGAAAGCGUGGGGAGCAAACAGG
rnacentral:rRNA from 1 species